AUUGAACGCUGGCGGCAUGCUUUACACAUGCAAGUCGAACGGCAGCGCGGGCUUCGGCCUGGCGGCGAGUGGCGAACGGGUGAGUAAUGCAUCGGAACGUGCCCAGUAGUGGGGGAUAGCCCGGCGAACGCCGGAUUAAUACCGCAUACGACCUGAGGGUGAAAGCGGGGGACCGAAAGGCCUCGCGCUAUUGGAGCGGCCGAUGUCGGAUUAGCUAGUUGGUGGGGUAAAGGCUUACCAAGGCGGCGAUCCGUAGCUGGUCUGAGAGGACGACCAGCCACACUGGGACUGAGACACGGCCCAGACUCCUACGGGAGGCAGCAGUGGGGAAUUUUGGACAAUGGGGGCAACCCUGAUCCAGCCAUGCCGCGUGCGGGAAGAAGGCCUUCGGGUUGUAAACCGCUUUUGUUCGGGAAGAAAUCCUCUGGGCUAAUACCCCGGGGGGAUGACGGUACCGGAAGAAUAAGCACCGGCUAACUACGUG
rnacentral:rRNA from 1 species